UUAAGCGACUAAGCGUACACGGUGGAUGCCCUGGCAGUCAGAGGCGAUGAAGGACGUGCUAAUCUGCGAAAAGCGUCGGUAAGGUGAUAUGAACCGUUAUAACCGGCGAUGUCCGAAUGGGGAAACCCAGUGCAAUUCGUUGCACUAUCGUUAACUGAAUACAUAGGUUAACGAGGCGAACCGGGGGAACUGAAACAUCUAAGUACCCCGAGGAAAAGAAAUCAACCGAGAUUCCCCCAGUAGCGGCGAGCGAACGGGGAGCAGCCCAGAGUCUGAAUCAGCUUGUGUGUUAGUGGAACGGUCUGGAAAGUCCGACGGUACAGGGUGAUAGUCCCGUACACCAAAAUGCACAGGUUGUGAACUCGAAGAGUAGGGCGGGACACGUGGUAUCCUGUCUGAAUAUGGGGGGACCAUCCUCCAAGGCUAAAUACUCCUGACUGACCGAUAGUGAACCAGUACCGUGAGGGAAAGGCGAAAAGAACCCCGGCGAGGGGAGUGAAAAAGAACCUGAAACCGUGUACGUACAAGCAGUGGGAGCACCUUCGGGUGUGACUGCGUACCUUUUGUAUAAUGGGUCAGCGACUUAUAUUCUGUAGCAAGGUUAACCGUAUAGGGGAGCCGCAGGGAAACCGAGUCUUAACUGGGCGUUAAGUUGCAGGGUAUAGACCCGAAACCCGGUGAUCUAGCCAUGGGCAGGUUGAAGGUUGGGUAACACUAACUGGAGGACCGAACCGACUAAUGUUGAAAAAUUAGCGGAUGACUUGUGGCUGGGGGUGAAAGGCCAAUCAAACCGGGAGAUAGCUGGUUCUCCCCGAAAGCUAUUUAGGUAGCGCCUCGUGAACUCAUCUUCGGGGGUAGAGCACUGUUUCGGCUAGGGGGUCAUCCCGACUUACCAACCCGAUGCAAACUACGAAUACCGAAGAAUGUUAUCACGGGAGACACACGGCGGGUGCUAACGUCCGUCGUGAAGAGGGAAACAACCCAGACCGCCAGCUAAGGUCCCAAAGUCAUGGUUAAGUGGGAAACGAUGUGGGAAGGCACAGACAGCCAGGAUGUUGGCUUAGAAGCAGCCAUCAUUUAAAGAAAGCGUAAUAGCUCACUGGUCGAGUCGGCCUGCGCGGAAGAUGUAACGGGGCUAAACCAUGCACCGAAGCUGCGGCAGCGACACUAUGUGUUGUUGGGUAGGGGAGCGUUCUGUAAGCCUGCGAAGGUGUGCUGUGAGGCAUGCUGGAGGUAUCAGAAGUGCGAAUGCUGACAUAAGUAACGAUAAAGCGGGUGAAAAGCCCGCUCGCCGGAAGACCAAGGGUUCCUGUCCAACGUUAAUCGGGGCAGGGUGAGUCGACCCCUAAGGCGAGGCCGAAAGGCGUAGUCGAUGGGAAACAGGUUAAUAUUCCUGUACUUGGUGUUACUGCGAAGGGGGGACGGAGAAGGCUAUGUUAGCCGGGCGACGGUUGUCCCGGUUUAAGCAUGUAGGCUGGUUGUCCAGGCAAAUCCGGAUAAUCAAGGCUGAGGUGUGAUGACGAGGCACUACGGUGCUGAAGUAACAAAUGCCCUGCUUCCAGGAAAAGCCUCUAAGCAUCAGGUAACAUUAAAUCGUACCCCAAACCGACACAGGUGGUCAGGUAGAGAAUACCAAGGCGCUUGAGAGAACUCGGGUGAAGGAACUAGGCAAAAUGGUGCCGUAACUUCGGGAGAAGGCACGCUGGUGUGUAGGUGAAGUCCCUGCGGAUGGAGCUGAGACCAGUCGAAGAUACCAGCUGGCUGCAACUGUUUAUUAAAAACACAGCACUGUGCAAACACGAAAGUGGACGUAUACGGUGUGACGCCUGCCCGGUGCCGGAAGGUUAAUUGAUGGGGUUAUCCGUAAGGAGAAGCUCUUGAUCGAAGCCCCGGUAAACGGCGGCCGUAACUAUAACGGUCCUAAGGUAGCGAAAUUCCUUGUCGGGUAAGUUCCGACCUGCACGAAUGGCGUAAUGAUGGCCAGGCUGUCUCCACCCGAGACUCAGUGAAAUUGAACUCGCUGUGAAGAUGCAGUGUACCCGCGGCAAGACGGAAAGACCCCGUGAACCUUUACUAUAGCUUGACACUGAACAUUGAGCCUUGAUGUGUAGGAUAGGUGGGAGGCUUUGAAGCGUGGACGCCAGUCUGCGUGGAGCCAACCUUGAAAUACCACCCUUUAAUGUUUGAUGUUCUAACGUUGGCCCCUUACCGGGGUUGCGGACAGUGUCUGGUGGGUAGUUUGACUGGGGCGGUCUCCUCCCAAAGCGUAACGGAGGAGCACGAAGGUUAGCUAAUCCUGGUCGGACAUCAGGAGGUUAGUGCAAUGGCAUAAGCUAGCUUGACUGCGAGCGUGACGGCGCGAGCAGGUGCGAAAGCAGGUCAUAGUGAUCCGGUGGUUCUGAAUGGAAGGGCCAUCGCUCAACGGAUAAAAGGUACUCCGGGGAUAACAGGCUGAUACCGCCCAAGAGUUCAUAUCGACGGCGGUGUUUGGCACCUCGAUGUCGGCUCAUCACAUCCUGGGGCUGAAGUAGGUCCCAAGGGUAUGGCUGUUCGCCAUUUAAAGUGGUACGCGAGCUGGGUUUAGAACGUCGUGAGACAGUUCGGUCCCUAUCUGCCGUGGGCGCUGGAGAAUUGAGGGGGGCUGCUCCUAGUACGAGAGGACCGGAGUGGACGCAUCACUGGUGUUCGGGUUGUCAUGCCAAUGGCACUGCCCGGUAGCUAAAUGCGGAAGAGAUAAGUGCUGAAAGCAUCUAAGCACGAAACUUGCCCCGAGAUGAGUUCUCCCUGAGACUUUAAGUCUCCUGAAGGAACGUUGAAGACGACGACGUUGAUAGGCCGGGUGUGUAAGCGCAGCGAUGCGUUGAGCUAACCGGUACUAAUGAACCGUGAGGCUUAACCUU
rnacentral:rRNA from 2 species